rnacentral:rRNA from 1 species
UACGGGGGGGGCAAGCGUUGUUCGGAAUUACUGGGCGUAAAGGGCUCGUAGGCGGCCAACUAAGUCCGACGUGAAAUCCCCAGGCUUAACCUGGGAACUGCGUCGGAUACUGGAUGGCUUGAAUUCGGGAGAGGGAUGCAGAAUUCCUGGUGUAGCGGUGAAAUGCGCAGAUAUCAGGAGGAACACCGGUGGCGAAGGCGGGUCUCUGGGCCGAUACUGACGCUGAGGAGCGAAAGCGUGGGGAGCGAACAGG